GGGGCGGCGCGCCGGUGCUUACGGUGGUGCGUGCAUGCCGCGCAUGCCGGAGACGUCUCGGAAUCGGCGUGGUGCGGUCCCCGUGCCGGCUCC
rnacentral:tRNA from 1 species